rnacentral:tRNA from 1 species
GAUGCCGUGGCCGAGUGGUCUAAGGCGCCAGAUUAAGGCUCUGGUUCGAAAGAGCGUGUGUUCAAAUCACACCGGCAUCA